AGGAGCGUAAUUACUGCUGCCUCUUUCUUCAUACUUAAUUACUUGAAAAAAGGGAUGAAAGCUGGGAAAAUAAGCUGAAGGCAGACUGCCGCCUUCACUCAAUUCAAAGGGACCUUUGGCCCUCAACUCCACUGAAGCCAGGCACAGCUGUCAUUAAUCAUCUCUUCAGCCGACCAGAGAGGAGACAUCCAUCCCUCCCCGGAAAGGGGGAAUUUGAAGGGAAGAGUUAAAAUCCAUCGGAGAAUUGCUCUUGAGUUAACUGUGAUUCCAAGAGCAUUUGGUCUAGGGCUAGAAGAAGACAUGUUCCAUAGGCUGCCCCCUAAAGCACCUGGGAUUCUAACACACAGCAUCAGCUCAUCGACACAAACAUGUACCAUGCCCUCCCCAUCCCCCUACAACAGAUAACAAAGGAAUUUGAAAAGCAUCCUUCCCUGUUUAACCCCAAAGAGUGUGUAAUGUGGGAAUUCUAGUGGGAGACUUUCUGGGAGUGGGAAAGCUCUGUUCAAAUCACACUUCACAGACACCUAACUCUUCCAGUUACUUGUAAGUACACACAUAAUUCAGAGAAAAAUCGGCUCAAGCUUAGAGAACAAAUGGGGCAAAUGGAUAAACAAACUUCUGGAUAUCCUUUUUCUGGACUCUUCAAAAAUGCCUUAGGUAUGCCAUAGAUUUUGUUGGGCUUCUUGUAAAGCCUUGAAUCCACCUCUCCCCAACAUACCCAGUCUCUCUUUGCCUCCUGAUAUAGACAAUACAGAUGUUGUGGUUCUUGGGACAUGGCUAGGAUGCUAAUGAAAAAGUCCAAAUACUUUCAACCUUCUGAAGUUCACAAGGUCCUCUUUUGGUCAUGUGGGAGGAAGGGAAUUAAGGUCUUAGCCUCAGCCUCAGUUUCAGUUUCCUACUUCUCAUCUCUCAAGUAGCUCUCAGUGGCUGGAGCUUUCUGCCUCUUACCUACUAGAUGUUUGUAUCCUCAAUUCCAAAUGAGCUUCAUGGGUUAUAUAAGUCCCAACAGAGCAUAAUCAAGUUUUUCAAUCAAUCUGAAAAACAAAACAAAAAAAUUCUUAUAGUAUGCACUUGAAAUGCCAAGUUUGAACAGAGAUGUCCAGGCUUUAUUCACACCUAGUUCACACCUUUAUUUGAUUCAGUUGAGAUAUAUUCUCACCAAACAAAAUAUCACCAUAGUGAUUUGUCACUUAUUUUAGGUUGACACAAUCAACUUUCCCCAACCCUCUCCAGGCUCCUCACUCAUUGGACUUCUGUAAAUAUAACUACAAAG